rnacentral:rRNA from 1 species
GCACCUGGUCAAGGAUUUGCGAACGGGUGAGUAACGCGUAGGUAACCUACCUCAUAGCGGAGGAUAACUAUUUUAAACGAUAGCUAAUACCGCAUAAGAGAGACUAACGCAUGUUAGUAAUUUAAAAGGGGCAAUUGCUCCACUAUGAGAUGGCCCUGCGUUGUAUUAGCUAGUUGGUGAGGUAAAGGCUCACCAAGGCGACGAUACAUAGCCGACCUGAGAGGGUGAUCGGCCACACUGGGACUGAGACACGGCCCAGACUCCUACGGGAGGCAGCAGUCGGGAAUCUUCGGCAAUGGGGGCAACCCUGACCGAGCAACGCCGCGUGAGCGAAGAAGGUUUUCGGAUCGUCAAGCUCUGUUGUUAGAGAAGAAUGCUGGUGGGAGUGGAAAAUCCACCAAGUGACGGUA